CCUACGGGAGGCUGCAGUAGGGAAUCUUCCACAAUGGACGAAAGUCUGAUGGAGCAACGCCGCGUGAGUGAAGAAGGGUUUCGGCUCGUAAAGCUCUGUUGGUAGUGAAGAAAGAUAGAGGUAGUAACUGGCCUUUAUUUGACGGUAAUUACUUAGAAAGUCACGGCUAACUACGUGCCAGCAGCCGCGGUAAUACGUAGGUGGCAAGCGUUGUCCGGAUUUAUUGGGCGUAAAGCGAGUGCAGGCGGUUCAAUAAGUCUGAUGUGAAAGCCUUCGGCUCAACCGGAGAAUUGCAUCAGAAACUGUUGAACUGGAGUGCAGAAGAGGAGAGUGGAACUCUAUGUGUAGCGGUGGAAUGCGUAGAUAUAUGGCAGAACACCAGUGGCGAGGGCGGCUCUCUGGUCUGCAACUGACGCUGAGGCUCGAAAGCAUGGGUAGCGAACAGGAUUAGAUACCCGAGUAGUC
rnacentral:rRNA from 1 species